rnacentral:lncRNA from 1 species
AACAUGCAUGUAUUGUAUAACAUAAUGUCCUAGGGUUGUCAUCUGAUGAAGAUCAUCAAAGGUUAGUGCUGCAUUUAGCUGUGGUUUUGUUUUUUGUGACAUUAUAUGCUAGCUUGAAAAAUGGGUGUCUGAUUAUUUCUGGCUGGGUACUCUGCUGACAUAAUCUAAUGUUUUGCUUUCGCUGUAAAGCCUUUUUGAAAUCGGACAGUGUGGUUAGAUAAAGAGAGUCUUGUCUUUAAAAUGGUGUAAAAUAGUCAUGUUUGAAAAAUUGAAGUUUUCGGUUUUUUGAGGAGUUUGUAUUUCGCGCCACGUCUAUCAUUGGAUAUUGGAGCAGGUGUUCCGCUAGCGGAACGUCUAGAUGUGUUAACAAACUAUAGUUUUGGGAAGUCGGUUAGGACAUCUACUUUGUGCAUGACACACGUUAAUUUUCCAACAAUUGUUUACAGACAGAUUAUUUCUAUUAUAAUUCCCUGUAUCACAAUACCAGUGGGUCAGAAGUUUACAUACACUAAGUUGACUGUGCCUUUAACUAGAAAUGUGUGGAGUGGUUGAAAAAUGAGUUUUAAUGACUUUAAAAAUGAAAUGAAUGCAGAAGUCAAUGCAGUCUUCUUAAUAAGAUGUAAGGAGCUCUCUUUCACACACAUUUUAAUCUUUUAUCAGACACUCUUAUCCAAAAUGACUUACAGUAGUGAGUGCAUACAUAAUUCAUACUGAUCCCCAGUAGGAAUUGAACUCACUAUCCUGGCAUUGCAAGCACCAGUCUCUCUCUCUCUCUCUCUCUCACUCUCACUCUCACUCUCACUCUCUCACUCUCUCACUCUCACUCUCACUCUCUCACUCAUAUAUAGGUGCCUUUUGGAAAACUCCAUGCGGGCUAUCAAUUGCCUUUUACUGAGGAGUGGCUUCCAUCUGGCCACACUACCAUAAAGGCCUGAUUGGUGGAGUGCUGCAGGGAUGGUUCUAGAAGGUUCUCCCAUCUCCACAGAGGAACUCUGGAGCUCUGUCAGAGGGACCUCCCUGUCACCUCCCUGACCAAGGCCCUUCUCCCCUGAUUUCUCAGUUUGGCCGGGCGGCCAGCUCAGGAAGAGUCUUGGUGGUUCCAACCUUCUUCCAUUUUAGAGUGAUAGAGGCCACUGUGUUCUUGCUGACCUUCAAUGCUGCAGAAUUGUUUUGGUACCCUUCCCCCAGAUCUGUGCCUCGACACAAUCCUGUCUACAGACAAUUCCUUCGACCUCAUGGCAUGGUUUUUGCUCCGACUUGCACUGUCAACUGUCAGACCUUAUAUAAACAGUUAUUUGCCUUUCCAAAUCAUGUGCAAUCAAUUGAAUUUACCACAGAUGGACUCCAAUCAAGUUGUAGAAACAUCUCAAGGAUGAUCAAUGUAAACAGGAUGCACCUAAGCUCAAAGCAAAGGGUCCCGAAUACUUAUGUAAAUUAGGUAUUUCUGUUUUCACUUUGUCAUUAUGGGGUAUUGUGUGUAGAUUGAUGAGGACUUUUUUUUAUUUAAUCCAUUUUAGAAUAAGGCUCUAAUUUAACAAAAUCUGGGAAAAAGUCAAGGGGUCUGAAUACUUUCCAAAGGCACUGUAUGUGAGUAUAUACAAAAUACAUUGCUUUCAGAAAUAAUUCACACCCCUCGACUUUUUCCACAUUUUAUUGUGUUACAAAUAGCGAUAAAAUUGAUUUACUUUAUCUACACAAAUCAGUCUUUAAUGUCAAAAUAGAAGAACAAUUCUAAAUAUUUGUUUCAUAUAUAUGGAAAAUAAAACACUCAUAUCUUGAUUAGAUAAGUAUUCAACCCCCUGAGUCAAUACAUUGCUGUCUCUGCCUGGCUGGUUUCCCCUCUUUCCACUGGGAUUUUCUGCCUCUACCCCUAUUACGGGGGCUGAGUCACUGGCUUACUGGUGUUCUUCCAUGCCGUCCCUGGGAGGGGUGCGUCACUUGAGUGGGUUGAGUCACUGACGUGGUCUUCCUGUCUGGGUUGGCGCCCCCUUUGGGCUGUGCCGUGGCGGAGAUCUUUGUGGGCUAUACUCGGCCUUGUCCCGGGAUGGUAUGUUGGUGGUUGGAGAUAUCCCUCCAGUGGUGUGGAGGCUGUGCUUUGGCAAAGUGGGUGGGGUUAUAUCCUACCUGUUUGGCCCUGUCCGGGGGUUUCAUCGGAUGGGGCCACAGUGUCUCCUGACCCCUCCUGUCUCAGCCUCCAGUAUUUAUGCUGCAGUAGUUUAUGUGUCGGGGGGCUAGGGUCAGUCUGUCACAUCUGGAGUAUUUCAAUUGUCUUUUCCGGUGUCCUGUGUGAAUUUAAAUAUGCUCUCUCUAAUUCUCU